rnacentral:rRNA from 1 species
CCUACGGGAGGCAGCAGUGGGGAAUAUUGGGCAAUGGGCGCAAGCCUGACCCAGCAACGCCGCGUGAAGGUAGAAGGCUUUCGGGUUGUAAACUUCUUUUAAGCGGGAAGAGAAGAAGACGGUACCUCUUGAAUAAGCGACGGCUAACUACGUGCCAGCAGCCGCGGUAAUACGUAGGUGGCAAGCGUUGUCCGGAUUUACUGGGUGUAAAGGGCGUGCAGCCGGGCUGACAAGUCAGAUGUGAAAUCCCGCGGCUCAACCGCGGAACUGCAUUUGAAACUGUCAGUCUUGAGUACCGGAGAGGUCAUCGGAAUGCGUGGUGUAGCGGUGAAAUGCGUAGAUAUAAGGAAGAACACCAGUGGCGAAGGCGGAUGACUGGACGGCAACUGACGGUGAGGCGCGAAAGCGUGGGGAGCAAACAGGAUUAGAUACCCGGGUAGUC